UGGGGAAUUUUGGACAAUGGGGGAAACCCUGAUCCAUCCAUCCCGCGUGUGCGAUGAAGGCCUUCGGGUUGUAAAGCACUUUUGGCAGGAAAGAAACGUCAUGGGUUAAUACCCCGUGAAACUGACGGUACCUGCAGAAUAAGCACCGGCUAACUACGUGCCAGCAGCCGCGGUAAUACGUAGGGUGCAAGCGUUAGUCGGCAUUACUGGGCGUAAAGCGUGCGCAGGCGGUUCGGAAAGAAAGAUGUGAAAUCCCAGAGCUCAACUUUGGAGCUGCAUUUUUAACUACCGGGCUAGAGUGUGUCAGAGGGAGGUGGAAUUCCGCGUGUAGCAGUGAAAUGCGUAGAUAUGCGGAGGAACACCGAUGGCGAAGGCAGCCUCCUGGGAUAACACUGACGCUCAUGCACGAAAGCGUGGGGAGCAAACAGG
rnacentral:rRNA from 1 species